CACUCUCUAUCUAGGUAGGACACCAGAGCUAGCGCAACCAGAUCGCGCUACCAACAAAAUGUAUACAGCUAUAUGGAGGGUAUCUCACCUGGUGUCCGCUUGGUUGCGCAAGCAAGCGGACAACAGGUGAAGUACC